rnacentral:lncRNA from 1 species
UUUAACUUCUUUAAGGAGAAAAAACAGAGAGGGCGAAUAACCCUUUAACUCAUAGAACCCAGAAACACCAAAUUCACAUUCUUUUUCCUUUUUGAUCUCCUUUCUCCUCCCUCUCUCUCUAAUUUAGAAACAGAGAGACAGAGGAGAGACAAAAACAGAGGACCUUGUUGUGUACCUUCUCUAAGCUCAACAAUGGCGUCCUUGCUGUCUUCUUCUUUCACUAUCUCAUCAUCAAAGCCAGACCAGCUCUCCCAAAAGCACUACUUCCUCCACCCACCAUCAAAGUCAGAACAGC